rnacentral:lncRNA from 1 species
UCUAUAGUGAUGGACACAGAAACAAAAUAGUGCAAAAAAUUAUUUACUAUUAACGGUAUAUAAAAUUUAAACUCAAAAUAUAAAGGUACAUGGUGUAACCUUGUACUAAUCAUCUGGAGUGAGCUUUCAUGAAUCAAUACAAUUGAUGAUGGCAACAUACCAACAUCUUAACUGGCAUUCCACACAUUAAUUAAGUCCAACAUCAAAUCUUGUUACCAACUUCCAGAAAUAACAAUUAUAUGUCCUGUUCUCUUUCGACUUUUCUCCUUCACGUAGAAAAAAGAAAGAGACAUAUGACCCAUAAAUAACAAUCAUAUGUUUGGUUAGAUUAGGAUUAUGAGAUAGAAUAAAAAUUAGGAAGCAAGGACAUUAAACUUUAAACAAAACAUGGAACAUGCCUUUUACAGCAGCUGCCCUCCCCUAAUUUUAUCUCAAACUGUGAUCAUUUAAUACACCAGCCAAAAUAAAAAGGUAAAACAAACAUCAGUAAUUGAUAGGUGAGCAAAAACAUUACUACAUAUCAUAAAACUCUGUUGAGAGUUAGAGGAGCAACAACUAUUGUAAGGGUUUAACAUGUAUUGCAAUUUUUAACGUGAAAUGACCAAAAUGUCCGUUGGUCGGCAAGCUGGCAAGACAACCGAGAGAUGCUUGUGAAGCCGCUUAUAUAUAUACUAAAAUGAAAAUUAAAAGAUUCAAACUUGGACAAAUUGCUUACAAAUUUCAUGUGAUCACAACUGUCAAAGUAUGUUAAUGAGAUUGUGUGCAAAUGGUUCAUGAAAAUUAACCAUUAAAGCUAUUAUCACGUCAACAGCUUGGAAGCUAUACAGAAACUACAUAACAUAUCCAAAGAUGAGGAGUCUCUAUAGUGAUGGACACAGAAACAAAAUAGUGCAAAAAUUAUUUACUAUUAACGGUAUAUAAAAUUUAAACUCAAAAUAUAAAGGUACAUGGUGUAACCUUGUACUAAUCAUCUAGAGUGAGCUUUCAUGAAUCAAUACAAUUGAUGAUGGCAGCAUACCAACAUCUUAACUGCCAUUCCACACAUGAAUUAAGUCCAACAUCAAAUGUUGUUACCAACUUCCAUAAAUAACGAUUAUAUGUCCUGUUCUCUUUCGACUUUUCUCCUUCACGUAGAAAAAAGAAAGAGACAUAUGACCCAUAAAUAACAAUCAUAUGUUUGGUUAGAUUAGGAUUAUGAGAUAGAAUAAAAAUUAGGAAGCAAGGACAUUAAACUUUAAACAAAAGAUGGAACAUGCCUUUUACAGCAGCUGCCCUCCCCUAAUUUUAUCUCAAACUGUGAUCAUUUAAUACACCAGUCAAAAUAAAAAGGUAAAACAAACAUCAGUAGUUGAUAGGUAUAUUAUCAAACACCCUUGGUGCACUAAUGAUACUGAGAAUUUAUUAGUAAAGAUGAAUGAGUAAAAUAGAAGAAUAUAUGUAAAAUACAAUAGAGAUCAACAACCUGAAAGAACCAUUUCAAAAAGGUUGAUCCUGAAUUAAUUAAAAGGGCACACUAUG